CUCAUUGGGUGCGUGAGAAGGGAAGGGUGGAUCCUAAAAGGUCAAAUCAUUUCUGCUUCAUCCAGCCUGGUUGCAGAGUGAGCCCAUGGGACAGCCCUCUGAAAUUAUACUGCUUACAACCAUGCUGAGUCUGCAAGGACUUCGUCCAAGCCUUUCCGUCCAGGACCUCAAACAGAUCCAAUCACAAGAAGAGAGAUUUCAGGAAAGAGAAAAUUAUUCCUAUCAUCGGGGUUUUUGAAGAACAUGAAAUGACUGGGAAAAUAAUCAUGUUAAGUGGAAA
rnacentral:lncRNA from 1 species